CCCUUAGAUGUCCGGGGCCGCACGCGCGCUACACUGAAGGAAUCAGCGUGGCUUUCUCCCUGACCCGAAAGGGUUGGGAAACCCGUUGAAUCUCCUUCGUGAUAGGGAUUGGGGCUUGAAAUUGUUCCCCAUGAACGAGGAAUUCCCAGUAAGCGCGAGUCAUAAGCUCGCGUUGAUUACGUCCCUGCCCUUUGUCCACACCGCCCGUCGCUACUACCGAUUGAACGGUUUAGUGAGGGCCUCGGAUUGGUCUCGGCCCGCUCUUUACCGGGCGGCGCCGUUGGUCGAGAAGACGCUCGAACUUGAUCGUUUAGAGGAAGUAAAAGUCGUAACA
rnacentral:rRNA from 1 species